UUGUAACAUAAACAUGGAACAAACCAGACAUAGAGAAGUGGUCGAAAGAGGACGAGGAAUACGUAUGCGUGGUGGAAGAAGAAUAAGAGGAAGAUCAAGAGCUGUAGUCUCAGAUGAGAUCAGGGCAACUAUAAUUGGUAACAACAGGACCCAACGGUGACCUCCCAAUGGUGGGAGAGGGAAGAUGCUCACUGAGUCUUAAGGAAACUGCAAUUGUUGAUAUGGUCAUUAGAAACAAUGCCAUCAAACUCACAGAAAUUCCAGAAAGUGUGUUGGCAGACAACAUCACAUUUGAAAAUAUUCACAGUAUCAGCAUGACAACUAUUUCAAGAGUCCUGCAAAAACAUCACGUCAGGAUGAAGCAGUUGCACACUGUGCCUUUUGAGAGGAACUCUGACCGACUCAAGCAACACAGGAACCAAUACGUCCAGAGAGUCAUGGAGAUUUAAAGCAGGCAAACCCCACACGUUUUCACUUUUGUGGAUGAGGCUGGUUUCAACUAGGAGGCGAGGAAGGAACCUAAUUGGGAAAAGAGCCACAGUGGAUGUCACAGGACAGAGGGGUGCUGACAUUACAAUGUGUGCUGCAUUAUCCACUAAUGGACUGCUGUUACACAGACCGCUUAUUGGGCCAAAAACUCUGAAUGCCUUCUUUCGUUCCUGGAUGACCUCUAUGGAAGGGUUGUGGUAGGUGAGGAAAGGAAUGCAGUGAGGAAAAAUCAGCCAACAUUUAUAAUUGUAUUGGACAAUGUGGCAUUUCACCACUCUCAUGCAGUCACAGAGUGCUUUGCAGCCCAUCCCAGGAUGGUGUCACCUCUCCUCCCACCUUAUUCUGAAUUAUUUUCCUCGUGGAGGUGGAAGGUUUAUGACCACCAUCCCCAUGAUCAAAUGUCCCUUUUGGAUGCCAUGAAUGCAGGAUGCCUGGAGAUUUCAGCAGAAGAUUACCAGGGAUGGAUCAGGCAUGCCAAAAGAUUCUUUCCUAAGCUUUUGCCCUGGAAGACAUGUGUGAUGUGGAUGAGAAUUUGUGGCCAAAUGCAGAGAGUGGAGUUGACUAGCAUUCCUACCAUAUCUGUGGAUGGUGUGAAUUUUUGUACUUGGCAAUAACUUCUUAAAAAAAAAACGUACAGCAUCAUGUCUGAUUACUGUAGUUCCUGUAACAUAUAAUGCCGUAAACAGUAGAAAGGUGUUUUUCUUUUACAGAAAAAUCUGUGUUUACCGUAAUGGUACCUGUUGUUAGUGUUUUUAAGGUCAUUGUUUUAUAGAUAAUCAAGUGUGUUUGUUGACUGUCAAGCUUUGCUAUUGUUAUGAAAGAAUGAGCUGAUUUGAGAAAUGAAUGAAGUGCUUUGAUAGUUUUAGUGAAUUUUUAAUGUGAAAUGAACAGCUGUGCCAAGAUGAAAGUUUGUUAGGAGAACUGUGUGAAGACUUUUACAAAAGUCACCAAAGUAGCCUAUGGAGAAAUGUGUCCUAGCAAUUGAAAAAAACUGUAAGAGAGUAAUUAUUUCUAAAAGGUUGUCACUUGCUUUGUAUAAACCACACCGAGCAACAGUCCCAAUUCUGACUCUAGGUCAGUCAAAAUGAAAAUAUCAUUCAGCCAAAAAACAAAUACUCUGUUGUGUGCAAUCUAUUGGUUUAAGGCUCUAUUCGGAGAUUGGUUAGAGGUUUCAGGUGUUUGUUUGUUUGUUGA